UACGUAGGGGCCAAGCGUUGUCCGGAUUUAUUGGGCGUAAAGAGCUCGUAGGCGGUUCGGCAAGUCAGCUGUGAAAUCUCCACGCUCAACGUGGAGGGGUCAGCUGAUACUGCUGUGACUUGAGUCCGGUAGGGGAGUGUGGAAUUCCCGGUGUAGUGGUGAAAUUCGUAGAUAUUCGCAAGAACACCAGUGGCGAAGGCGGCCCACUGGCCCGAUACUGACGCUGAUGCACGAAAGCGUGGGGAGCAAACAGG
rnacentral:rRNA from 1 species